rnacentral:lncRNA from 1 species
CUUCUACCUAUUAUUUAAGAAGAACAACCUAAUGCGUAUGAUGAACUGAAUGAGAGAGUUGUCAUUUAACUGGUUACUAGUUUACAAUUUCUACUGCAUUUCUUUAAUCAGUUUAUUGAAAAGUUAUCUCUACCAUUGAAGUUGUCAUCUUGCUGAAUCGAUGCCUUAAGGGAAUGAUCCCCCUCCUAAUGCAUAACACUUGGACUACAUUUUGCGAUUACAAACUACAAUUUCUAGCCCUUCCGUAAAAACACUCAUGUGCAUAGGAAAACUAAUAGUGCACACGUCAUUUUUGAACUGAGCCAGAUAUUGCUGUUCCAAAUUGCAAAAUGCAGUCCACUUCACUUUGCAUGGCUUGAAACAACAUGCCAUUUUAUUCUCAGUUCGAAAAGAUUGUCUGAUUUUCAAGUGACUUGUUUAUUUUUCACCAGUAUUUGAUUUUUAAACAUCUACCUUGCUUUUUCGGUUCCCUCCUUUAAAGUAAAUCCUCGAGGUAAAGCAACGGUUUUAUUCACUUGAAGGACAAGUUUUCAGCCUCAAUCUCUAUUGGUUUUCUUCAUAAAUAAUUGUUCUCCAUAAUACUUAAUGGGUAAUUCUACGUUUAGUUAAAACAUUUGAAUUUUUCUCUUUUUUUUCUGUGCAGAACCUAGAUAAUUGGAAGUCCAGCAGAAGAAAACGACAGGAGCAUAUUAUUGAAAGAGUAGUUGAGGUGAAGAAAUUUGAAUUAGAGGAUCAUGAUCGCAAUCGGAGACGCAGCAAAACAUUCAAUGAAAUGAUGGAAGAAAGGAGCUCCCGAGGAAGGAAGUUGAGUCUACCUAUUUAUCAAGAAGACAACUCGGAUGAUUUAAGCGACCUUGGUUUAAGUACUGUCUCAAGUCCAAAGGAAAAAAAUGGAAAAGAUGAAGAGGAAAGGAAACUGAGCCCAUUGCGUGAGUCUAUCGAUAGUCUCUCGAGCAAAGAUGUAGAUAAAAAAGACAAACCAAUUGCAGGGGUGAUUCAAAUGCAUAUGAAAAAGCUGUUCAAAAUUGCAUUAGCUACGCUGAGAACAUUGUAAAGUCGAGAUCAAGCCAGUGCUCGGGCAAAUCAGAAUCGAAACCUGAAUACCAAAAAUUAAAGUCUGAGUUUGACAGUGUUCUCCGAGGCUCGACUCCCAAAAUAGAAGGGAAAAUAUCAGAAUUACGUCAUCGUAGAUUCAGUCAGUCCGAUUCAAUGCUGAUGACGACAAAAAGCCACUCAACCUUCCCAAAGUUGACAUCUCCAAGCGACGAGAAUUGUUUGAGAAAAUAUCCAAUGACACCA